UUCCCCACUUUCUAUGGGAGUGCAUUUGGAAAGGCUUCGUAAAGGGAGUUUCCUCCCCAUCACAGAGGAAGGAUUAUGCUACCCAGAAACUGAAAACAGAACAGAUGCCAUUAAGCAAAUAUAUCAGCAACAACUGUACAUACCCAUAACACACCCACAGAGAGGGAAAGUUGUAGUAGCACCAUCCUCUGCAAACAUCCUCGCCCACAGGUCCACUGGGAAGACAGGCCAACCCAGAGGUGCCAGAGGAGGAGCUUGGCAACCUACAAGAUGCAAGAUAACCAGGAGAAACCUACCAUUUUGAGCAGCAAUAAACAAAGAGCGGUGCAGGGUGUUUACAACUAAGAGGAGCUGGACGAAUAAGGAAUGCAGCCGAUUGUGUGCAGUUCUCCAUGCUUGAAACUUCCAGGAGCUUCUUGUCGCAGCAGUUGGCAGAAAGGUAACAGAUUACCAGAAAAGGAAGAAGAGGAAAAGGAGAGAGAAGCCAAAGAAGGGAAGGAAGAAAUGCAGGAGAAAAAGCCAUCACCUAGACGAUGCCACAGAGAUCAACCUCUUGAGGAUGAUCGAUGUAUCAAGCAAGGAAAGUCAGAAGAAAGUGAGGGGUCAGCAGGGAGAAAUGACUCAAGAAAGACUAGGAAGGAGGAAAAGGCCGCCAGAUGAAAUCCGGACCAAGGAAGACGACAUCCAGGAAACAUUCUGAGCUCAAAAGGAAUCCCAGACUUCACCGAGUGGCCAAACUAUCCUCUGCAUCAUUGUCUGCUCAGAAGUAGAAACGGCGAAGAGACUUGUGACACCUUAAAGACUACAUCUCUGGAAAUUGUAGCUCAGAAGUUAGCCUCAUUGUGUUCAGUGGGAUCUGCUCCCAGUCCUUAGUGCACAAGGAUGGAAGAAUGAGGAAAUCCCAAUGGAAGAACAGUGGCAAGAAAGACUGAUGAGCUAUGCGGAACUGGCUAAAUUGACAUAUAAACUGCGUGACAAGGACAACCCUGACUUCAAGGAAGAAUGGGAACUUUUCGCCAACUAUCUAAAAAGACAGCAAAAUGAAUUGGACUCCUUGGCAGGUUUU